rnacentral:rRNA from 1 species
UACGUAGGCAGCGAGCGUUGUUCGGAGUUACUGGGCGUAAAGCGCGCGCAGGCGGCUCUUUAAGUCUGACGGUGAAAUGCCGGGGCUCAACCCCGUGCCCGCCGCGGAUACUGGAGGGCUGGAGACACGUAGAGGCAAGCGGAAUUCCGGGUGUAGCGGUGGAAUGCGUAGAGAUCCGGAAGAACACCGGAGGCGAAGGCGGCUUGCUGGGCGUAGUCUGACGCUGAGGCGCGAAAGCGUGGGGAGCGAACAGG